CCUUUUAUUUGACUAUCUAGUUCUUCAUAGCAAGUUCGUUCUUAUUGGCCCUGUUUAAAGCAUAAUGACUUACAAUCUUACAUUUUGAACAAUUUAUCCUAUUCUUAUUAAUUAUUGGUAGGUUACCAUGACCACUAUGCUAUCUCGAUCAAGUAGUAGUGAUGCAGUUCACUGUUAGCCAUGGUGCGGUUCAGUUUGUUGUUGUUUGUCACAAGUAAGCUGCCUCCUCUGAACUCCUAUAUCUUUGCAACAAUUUUGGCCAGUAGGCCUCUUGGGAGAUUUGGGAACGCCAAGAUGGUAUGGCUCUACGGCAAGAGGCUCGUGUAUACCAAUAACCAGGGGAUGGUCGUCAAUGGUGUCUGCUCAAACUUCCUCUCGGAGCCUGCGCCAGGCUUCCUCGCCCCAGUGCCCUCGUCGCUGCUAAGGAACUGGUCACCUGGGCGUCUGGCCCUCCUCCACUGGCAGCCUCAGCCACACCUACACAGGAUAUGGCACCAGAUACUUUCCUGAAAUUUCUGUUCAGAAAUGCAAGCGCAAGAUUGUGACAAAAAACAGGGCGAAGAAGGGAAAGGGAGUUCACGUACCUGUAAAAAACGAGAGGGGAAAAUGCCACUGGUACACUUGUUUAUUUUAGGCAGUUGGUGCACUUGAUCUGGAGUUCACUCGGUGAUCUCACUUAAAAGCACUAGCAGUCCGCUGUAGUUCACAUCGCUCUAGCACUUGCAGCUCCAUCUUCAGGUUUGCGAACUGUUGAUUUCUAGUUUUGGGCGAUGUAUUGCAAAAUUGCAGGGAUAAAAUAGUUGUAACAAUGCAGCACACAGUGUAGUGCACGGUACAUUGUACCUCAAAUUUAUAUUUUUGUCAGGACGUUCACUUUGUUGACAUAGGAAGUUCUAUAUAAAAAACAUUGCGGGGUGUAGCUAUACAAACAAAUAUGCAAAAACUAUUUUUCAUCAUCAGAAGUUCAGUUCUUUUAAUCUAUGGAAUUAACUUCUCCUAAUUGGUGACGUUCACUUCUCCUAAUUGUUGAAGUUCACAUCUCCUGACACUUCAAUUUAGAUAAUCCUGGUAGGUGGAUUAUUCUUUUAUUUCUAAUCCAAGUUUCGUUUUGUGCGUCCUCUAAACCCGACCAGCGCGGAGACCUCGUUUUGCAGAGAUGCUGCUAGGGGUAAACCACCAGGUUCUGCAGUGUUGUUCUACCGUUGUUACGGAGUCCAGUUCAGCUUUACCUUCACUGAAGUUCUGUUUAUCCUCAUGCGCGGAAUUCACUUCUCAUACUUCAGUUUAUUCAUAAGAAUGGCUAGGA